rfam:Triticum urartu cultivar G1812 contig762483, whole genome shotgun sequence.
UUAAUACUCCCUCCGUUCUGAAUUACUUGUCGUAGGUAUGGAUGUAUCUAAAUGUAUUUUAGUUCUAGAUACAUCCGUUUCUCCGAUAAGUAAUUUGGAAUGGAGAGAGUAUAGA